GAGGAUCAUGGGGGACCACUGAUUAGGUCACUGAUUAGGCAUUGUUUGCUAAAUAGAGGGUGCAAGUAGCUAUAAGUAGUGCAGUGGGGCUUUAAUUGGAAAUCAAAAGCAGAAUGGUGGUAUAAUAAUUGUAUAAAGCAUCUUGAGUAUGAAGGUUUCAGACGUGGUAUAAAUCUUGCAGUGUCUUUAUCGCAUUGGUGUGCAUUUUUCUGAGUGAUAGAUACAACUCUGUGUACGCAAAUGAACUCUAUAUCCGGUCAGUACUUGCUAAUGAAACCAAGGGAACAGUGUUGUGUGUAAUGUAUUAGAGUAUUAGCAUCAAAAAUUCCAUUCCUUGUCAAAUAUAUGUGUAACUGGUGUGACAUUGUUCGGCAUUGUUAUCCAGUGUGGGAGUGUUGUGUCUCGUAUUGUGAUAAUAUUACAUCAGUCUAUGGAGACUCAACUAAUUACACGUUAUGAAACGAUUUUGUAUGUGUCUGUAUGGUUGCGGUUUGUCCCGUAGAUACUCAAGGUACCGUGUACAAAUCAUGCAUUACAUUGUAUUGUGGGCUAAUGUUAAUGAGAGGACUUGUGAGAAAAAAAAAACUUCACUAUGGUGCUCACAUAUAGAAGGUUUCCUAUUUAAAGAAUUUCGAUGUUCACCUUUGAAGUCUGAUCCAGACAGUGAUUGGAUUCGUAUCCAUUGGAAAACCGUUGAAGGAAUAUGAAAAUUAAGAGAUAGAUAAAUGUACGGUCUCCGGGCUGGUAAAAGGUUCAUGUCAUUAUGAAGUGAUCAAUGAAUUCCAUCAAGGAAAACUGUGUCCACUUUGUUGGGUUCUAUUGGUUACCUAAGGUUAGGUACUCUUGAAGUUUCCCCAAGUGCUAUCCCUCCCUUAUUUACUUCACUCAUGCCACCAAACAUGACUCCAAACCUACUCCAAACUGAUCAGUUAUUGGCCAUUAGGGUUCAUGUAACUCUGCGUUUGGUCUGUUGUUCAGUCUGGUGUCGGUCUGGUGUCGGCCUGGUGUCGGCCUGCAUCGGUCAGGUGUCGGUCUGUUGUUGGUCUGGUGUCGGUCUGGUGUCAGCCUGGUGUCGGUCUGGUGUCGGUCUGGUGCCGGUCUGGUGCUGGCUGGGUGUUGGCCUCAUUGCUGUGACAGAGGUAUUACUGUUUCUUGUUUUAUGUUUGUCAAAAAUCGUUUUGUAUCAGCAGCAUCAGCAGGUUUGUGCAGUACAUAGUACAGAUAAUGUGAUUAUUGAUUGAAAGCUAAUAAUGUUCUAUAAAUAAAAGUCUAUUUAAUUACAUUUUAAACAGCAAAGUGUACUUGAAAAAAAUAUUAUAUAUUGACUUUGUGUGAGCACUUUAAGUUAUCAAUGUUUAAAUAGAGUACAUCGAAAAACUGAAACUAAAAUGCCUUGUAAUGCGAUACGUCUUCUGGUGAGAAUGAGGAUUAUUUUGUACUCUUCACGACUAUUUUUGAGCAUGUAUGAUCUGGUGUUUCUGUCAAUCGAAUUGGAUAUUAUUAUUGCAAGUACAAUUCAAUGAGUUUGUUCAGUGAUGAAAGCUUAAAUUGUUUUCAUUUAUAGCACCCUGAGACUAGUCAGAUUCUCAUGAAAUAGAAAACAGUGAAAUGAAACUAUUGUUUAAUAUUUUAGCAUCUAGAAUCGUUUGUUUCCCAACGUAGCAUAAAUCAAAUAUUAUUGUCGAAUAUUGUAGAUUCUAAAAAUCUGGUGCCGCAUUUUGAGAUAUCAUGACUUUGUCCAAUCUUAAAACCAUUGGAUAGUGAGGGAGAGAGAACCAGUGCUAUUUUUUGUGAGGACGACACAGAAAAAUGGGCCCUUUUUACACAGUCAAGGAAUUUUGGCCCAGCUGUCCAUUUUCUCUGUUGAAAUAUAAUGUGUUGUGAAAUGAUUCUUAAUGAAAUGAAACGUUAAAAGCAAAACAUUGCUUUCCCAUCUAAUCAAGUCAUACUUUGAAAUGCAAGAUUAUCACCUGUUUGUCAUAUGCAUAUAUAUGUUAUUUUAACAAGGACUAAAGCAUUUUGCCGACUGCAUAACUAAAUAUAAUGACAAAGGUAUCUUGUUUGUACGUUGUUCCUUAAUAUGCCAUUUAUUUGUUAUUCUAUUAUCACAACACCAUUAAAAGAUUCAUCAUUAGACGACCGGUACUCUUGUUUUGCAAAAUUAGAUAUAUAUUUGUACAGACAGCAGAAGACCUUUAUUUGCUUCAUCUGCUAUCAAAAGUGUCUAUCUCUGUUUUGGGGUGAAAAUUAUAUUGUGUAGAUUAUGAUAUAUUGUAGACUAUAUUUGUGUGUAUCAUUUAUAGAUACUUUUUAAUUGUGAGUUUGUAUAUUUUUAUGACUACGUGUUUGCCGGUUCUCUUCCACUUUUCACAUGUCUACUUGAGUUUUGUAAAUGCUUUCACAUGUAAUCAGCAUUGGUGCCUUUUUGUUUCAUUUUGAAAACAUUCUUCAAAUUUGUCAUGCUGCAAAAAAAAAGAAAGAAGAAGAUGAAAAAAGUAGAAAUAGAGAUCAUUUAUUGUAGAUGUAAAAUCCCUCAUUGAAGUUCCCAUUAUAUGAAAACUCAAUUUUAUUGUCAAAGAAGUCUUAAAUUGUUAUUGAUAAGACAUUGUUAUGGGCAUAUUGGAAAAAAGAAGUUCUUUUCUUUUCAUGUGGAAAUAAGAUGUAUGUGUACACUAUGAAAUGUUAAGAACUGUGGAACUGCGUGAAUUGGAACGAUAAUUAUAAAGAAUUUUUGAGAAUUUUUCCCACAGUAGUGAUGCAGACCUAAUUCAUUUCGGUUAUUCAUGAUGAAUGAAAGAAAUGAAGUAGAUCUGGACCAAUCACAAUGAAAAACAUUUUUCUCGAAAGCAAUCUUCCAGUUUAGUUCUGAUUCCUCUGUCUUACAGUAUUAAUUGUCCGUCUUUCCCCUACGCACUUUUACUUGUGACCUUGCCAUUUAGUUGUGAGCUCAACUCCUCA
rnacentral:lncRNA from 1 species